GAUGAACGCUGACAGAAUGCUUAACACAUGCAAGUCAACUGUGGCGGACGGGUGAGUAACGCGUAAAGAACUUGCCUCACAGAUAGGGACACCAUUUGGAAACGAAUGCUAAUACCUGAUACUGUGAGAGGGCUUUGCGUCCCAGUAGCUAGUUGGAGAGGUAACGGCUCACCAAGGCGAUGAUGGGUAGCCGGCCUGAGAGGGUGAUCGGCCACAAGGGGACUGAGACGCCACCGUUACUCCUACUGGGGGCAGCAGUAGGAAAUAUUGGACAAUAGACCAAAGUCUGAUCCAGCAAUUCUGUGUGAACGAUGAAGUUUUCGAAAAGUAAAGUUCUUGCAUAUGGGAAGCGGUACCUACAGAAGAAGUAACGGCUAAAUACGUGCCAGCAGCCGCGGUAAUUC
rnacentral:rRNA from 1 species